rnacentral:lncRNA from 1 species
UACCCAGUUCUCAAAUGUUUGCCAAAUAUGAAUUGGUCUUUGUGUGUACCUGUGAUUAUCUGUGCAAGUGUUCAAAUGCAAACUUGUAACUGAAAUGCUGUUUUAUGAUCCUAUGGGAUCAUGGUCCAGAGUCUCCUUACCUGCUUCUGAAUUAAUUCUAAACUGCACCUGGCUGCAGACCUCAGGAUCAAGAAACCUGGUUCAUAGUACUGAAGUUUCCCUCUGACUUGGUGAUAUUACCGGGGUGGUAGAUUCUUUCCCAGUCUAGCUAGUGCAAAGAAUUUCUGGGCUCCUACGAAAGCAGAUUUGAGGAGACCUAGUAAUUUCUCGUGGAUCAGAAGUGUCACACGUGAAACGGACUCCAUACCUAGAUGGCAACUCGGUCAGUGGAGCAUGGGAGACAUGAAGAACUCCUACCUGAAGUACACAACGAAGACACCAACACUGCAGCUAACUUUCUCCGAUUGUGCAUGAUAUUAUUUAUUAUUGAAGUGUUGAGAAAACCAUAUGAGUAUGAACGUCAUAGAAAAUCUGGUAAAUAUCCCCUGACAGCCUUAACUCUUAUGCCACAUUAAAAUGAAUGCUCUCUUGGUAUCUUUAACGUUUGUUCCCUGCUCCCGUAAUUGCGCUCCAUGAUUCACCCUUCUCCUGAACAUCUACUCUCUACCCCGUAUGUUGACUAAUGGACUUCUCCCAUAGUACGUUUUCUCUAUUUCUUUUUCCCUCCACUUUCCAUCAUUUCCCUUUCUUUCUUGUUCAGCAAUGCCUUCCGUUCCCUGUAAACAUUGAUUUAUCUGUGUCAGAUACUUGACAUAUAAGCAUAUAAAACAAAAUGAUAUUUUGGUACUGUGGUGGCCAGAGACUUAGAGGCUUCUGAACUUUUUUUUUUUUUCCAGAAGCAGUGGCCUAGGACUCUCUAACUCAGGGUUGAUGGUGACUUAAUACAAAUUGCUACCAUGAUAAUGAGAAUUAAUAUCAUAGAUUUACUGGGAAUCAAAGGCAGUAUUGAAGAUAAGAACCUAGUAAUAAAAGCCUAAAUAACAUAGACA